rnacentral:rRNA from 1 species
ACGAACGCUGGCGGCGUGGAUAAGACAUGCAAGUCGAACGAGAGAAUUGCUAGCUUGCUAAUAAUUCUCUAGUGGCGCACGGGUGAGUAACACGUGAGUAACCUGCCCCCGAGAGCGGGAUAGCCCUGGGAAACUGGGAUUAAUACCGCAUAGUAUCGAAAGAUUAAAGCAGCAAUGCGCUUGGGGAUGGGCUCGCGGCCUAUUAGUUAGUUGGUGAGGUAACGGCUCACCAAGGCGAUGACGGGUAGCCGGUCUGAGAGGAUGUCCGGCCACACUGGAACUGAGACACGGUCCAGACACCUACGGGUGGCAGCAGUCGAGAAUCAUUCACAAUGGGGGAAACCCUGAUGGUGCGACGCCGCGUGGGGGAAUGAAGGUCUUCGGAUUGUAAACCCCUGUCAUGUGGGAGCAAAUUAAAAAGAUAGUACCACAAGAGGAAGAGACGGCUAACUCUGUGCCAGCAGCCGCGGUAAUACAGAGGUCUCAAGCGUUGUUCGGAAUCACUGGGCGUAAAGCGUGCGUAGGCUGUUUCGUAAGUCGUGUGUGAAAGGCGCGGGCUCAACCCGCGGACGGCACGUGAUACUGCGAGACUAGAGUAAUGGAGGGGGAACCGGAAUUCUCGGUGUAGCAGUGAAAUGCGUAGAUAUCGAGAGGAACACUCGUGGCGAAGGCGGGUUCCUGGACAUUAACUGACGCUGAGGCACGAAGGCCAGGGGAGCGAAAGGGAUUAGAUACCCCUGUAGUCCUGGCAGUAAACGGUGCACGCUUGGUGUGCGGGGAAUCGACCCCCUGCGUGCCGGAGCUAACGCGUUAAGCGUGCCGCCUGGGGAGUACGGUCGCAAGAUUAAAACUCAAAGAAAUUGACGGGGACCCGCACAAGCGGUGGAGUAUGUGGCUUAAUUCGAUGCAACGCGAAGAACCUUACCUGGGCUUGACAUGUAAUGAACAACAUGUGAAAGCAUGCGACUCUUCGGAGGCGUUACACAGGUGCUGCAUGGCCGUCGUCAGCUCGUGUCGUGAGAUGUUUGGUUAAGUCCAGCAACGAGCGCAACCCCUGUUGCCAGUUACCAGCACGUGAAGGUGGGGACUCUGGCGAGACUGCCCAGAUCAACUGGGAGGAAGGUGGGGACGACGUCAGGUCAGUAUGGCCCUUAUGCCCAGGGCUGCACACGUACUACAAUGCCCAGUACAGAGGGGGCCGAAGCCGCGAGGCGGAGGAAAUCCUAAAAACUGGGCCCAGUUCGGACUGUAGGCUGCAACCCGCCUACACGAAGCCGGAAUCGCUAGUAAUGGCGCAUCAGCUACGGCGCCGUGAAUACGUUCCCGGGUCUUGUACACACCGCCCGUCACAUCAUGGAAGCCGGUCGCACCCGAAGUAUCUGAAGCCAACCGCAAGGAGGCAGGGUCCUAAGGUGAGACUGGUAACUGGGAUG